GCCUCUGUAGCUCAGUUGGUUAGAUCGAGCGCUGCACCGGAAUCGCAGGGCCGUAGGUUCAAUUCCUACCAGAAGAC
rnacentral:tRNA from 1 species